rnacentral:rRNA from 1 species
UCAUGAAGUCGGAAUUGCUAGUAAUGGCAGGUCAGCAUACUGCCGUGAAUACGUUCCCGGGCCUUGUACACACCGCCCGUCACACCAUGAGAGUUGGGAAUACCCGAAGCCUGUGAGCCAACAAACGAGGCAGCAGUCGAAGGUAGAAUCAAUGAUUGGGGUGAAGUCGUAACAAGGUAGC